rnacentral:rRNA from 1 species
GCGGCGUGGAUAAGACAUGCAAGUCGAACGAGAGAAUUGCUAGCUUGCUAAUAAUUCUCUAGUGGCGCACGGGUGAGUAACACGUGAGUAACCUGCCCCCGAGAGCGGGAUAGCCCUGGGAAACUGGGAUUAAUACCGCAUAGUAUCGAAAGAUUAAAGCAGCAAUGCGCUUGGGGAUGGGCUCGCGGCCUAUUAGUUAGUUGGUGAGGUAACGGCUCACCAAGGCGAUGACGGGUAGCCGGUCUGAGAGGAUGUCCGGCCACACUGGAACUGAGACACGGUCCAGACACCUACGGGUGGCAGCAGUCGAGAAUCAUUCACAAUGGGGGAAACCCUGAUGGUGCGACGCCGCGUGGGGGAAUGAAGGUCUUCGGAUUGUAAACCCCUGUCAUGUGGGAGCAAAUUAAAAAGAUAGUACCACAAGAGGAAGAGACGGCUAACUCUGUGCCAGCAGCCGCGGUAAUACAGAGGUCUCAAGCGUUGUUCGGAAUCACUGGGCGUAAAGCGUGCGUAGGCUGUUUCGUAAGUCGUGUGUGAAAGGCGCGGGCUCAACCCGCGGACGGCACAUGAUACUGCGAGACUAGAGUAAUGGAGGGGGAACCGGAAUUCUCGGUGUAGCAGUGAAAUGCGUAGAUAUCGAGAGGAACACUCGUGGCGAAGGCGGGUUCCUGGACAUUAACUGACGCUGAGGCACGAAGGCCAGGGGAGCGAAAGGGAUUAGAUACCCCUGUAGUCCUGGCAGUAAACGGUGCACGCUUGGUGUGCGGGGAAUCGACCCCCUGCGUGCCGGAGCUAACGCGUUAAGCGUGCCGCCUGGGGAGUACGGUCGCAAGAUUAAAACUCAAAGAAAUUGACGGGGACCCGCACAAGCGGUGGAGUAUGUGGCUUAAUUCGAUGCAACGCGAAGAACCUUACCUGGGCUUGACAUGUAAUGAACAACAUGUGAAAGCAUGCGACUCUUCGGAGGCGUUACACAGGUGCUGCAUGGCCGUCGUCAGCUCGUGUCGUGAGAUGUUUGGUUAAGUCCAGCAACGAGCGCAACCCCUGUUGCCAGUUACCAGCACGUGAAGGUGGGGACUCUGGCGAGACUGCCCAGAUCAACUGGGAGGAAGGUGGGGACGACGUCAGGUCAGUAUGGCCCUUAUGCCCAGGGCUGCACACGUACUACAAUGCCCAGUACAGAGGGGGCCGAAGCCGCGAGGCGGAGGAAAUCCUGAAAACUGGGCCCAGUUCGGACUGUAGGCUGCAACCCGCCUACACGAAGCCGGAAUCGCUAGUAAUGGCGCAUCAGCUACGGCGCCGUGAAUACGUUCCCGGGUCUUGUACACACCGCCCGUCACAUCAUGGAAGCCGGUCGCACCCGAAGUAUCUGAAGCCAACCGCAAGGAGGCAGGGUCCUAAGGUGAGACUGGUAACU